rnacentral:rRNA from 1 species
GACAACCCGACGAGAUCGGCGUUCCCUUCGGGGACAGGGUGACAGGUGGUGGCGAUGGUUGUCGUCAGCUCGUGUCGUGAGAUGUUGGGUUAAGUCCCGCAACGAGCGCAACCCUCGACCUUAGUUGCCAGCAUUCAGUUGGGCACUCUAAGGUGACUGCCGGCUAAAAGUCGGAGGAAGUGGGGAUGACGUCAAAUCAUCAUGCCCCUUAUGACCUGGGCUACACACGUGCUACAAUGGGCGGUACAAAGGGUCGCGAACCCGCGAGGGGGAGCCAAUCCCAAAAAGCCGCUCUCAGUUCGGAUUGCAGGCUGCAACUCGCCUGCAUGAAGCCGGAAUCGCUAGUAAUCGCGGAUCAGCAUGCCGCGGUGAAUACGUUCCCGGGCCUU